rnacentral:piRNA from 1 species
UGACAUUCUUCCCUGAUAUCCUGAGCA